rnacentral:rRNA from 1 species
CCUACGGGUGGCAGCAGUGGGGGAUAUUGCACAAUGGGGGAAACCUGAUGCAGCGACGCCGCGUGUGGGGAGACGGUCCUCUGGAUUGGAAACCACUUUCCCCAAGGACCAAGAUUACGGUACCUGGGGAGGAAGCUCCGGCUAACUACGUGCCAGCAGGCGCGGUAAAACGUAGGGGGCGAGCGUUGGCCGGAAAUACUGGGUGUAAAGGGAGCGGAGGCGGGGAUGCAAGUUGGGUGUCAAAACUACCGGCUCAACUGGUAGUCGCACUCAAAACUGCAGCUCUUGAGUGAAGUAGAGGCAGGCGGAAUUCCUAGUGUAGCGGUGAAAUGCGUAGAUAUUAGGAGGAACACCAGUGGCGAAGGCGGCCUGCUGGGCUUUUACUGACGCUGAGGCUCGAAAGUGUGGGGAGCAAACAGGAUUAGAUACCCGUGUAGUC